CGGCCAAAAAAGUAUGAGAUCUUCAUUGGUGAAAAAGAUUGGGCUGAGUUUGUAAAUCAAAGAGAUGAAGAUUUUCGGAAAAGGAGUGCCACGAAUAGUGCGAGAGCAUCCAAACCCGCGUAUCCAUACAAAAAAGGGCGUAUGGGAUAUGCACGCUUAGAGGAUAAACUUUUAGAGGAGUCUAAAAGUGAGGAAACCUCACUUCCUGUACAUGUGUUGUGGAGGGAAGCUCGUGUGGGCAAGAGUCAAGCUGUCGAUCCCGAAGUUCAGAGAGUUUUUACUGAAUGUGAGACCUUGUCGCAAUCGGCAUCCACCGGUGAGGGGAGCGUACUUAGUAGAGCACUAG